rnacentral:lncRNA from 1 species
GCCGUUGGAUCGUUUCAUGCAGUUGCAAAAGGGAUCCCGGUCGUCUGUGGAGCUGGAAAUGACGGCCCUUCUCCACAAACUGUAAAGAACACUGCCCCUUGGAUUAUUACUGUUGCUGCCAGCACCAUGGAUAGAGCUUUCUCAACUCAAAUCACACUUGGCAACAACAAGACUCUUCAGGUCCGCAACUUUUUUUAUUUUUUUUUAUUUAUAAUUAAAAAUUUAUAUUACUAACUUUCCGAAGGAAAAAAAAAAAUGGAUCUUGCAGGGUCAGUCUAUCUACACAGGGUCCGGAACGGGAGGCGGAUUCACGGGCUUGUAUUACCCUGCGGAUGGAGGCGCCAAUACUUCAUCAACUGGGUAGGGCUUUUUUCCAAGAGUUUCUUGGUGUUUGGGAAUUAAUUAUGUGUCUGAAAUAAACAUCCUCGUAUUUUUUUUUGCAUGUUUACAGUGUGUGCGAAGGUCUCACGCUAAAGCCUAGUCUUGUUGCUGGGAAAGUUGUUCUAUGCUUCACCACAGUAUCGAGUCCAGUUGUGACACUAAUUGCAUCGUUGUUAGUGAGAGCUGCAGGCGGAGUUGGUGUUAUUGUUUCAAAGCUUCAAAAUGAUAUAACAGGUCAAUGCCGCAACUUCCCAUGUGCAGAAGUCGAUUAUGAAAUCGGCACUCAGAUCCUAUUCUACAUCCGCUCCAACAGGUACACUUAACAUUUCACAAACUUCUUUUUGUUAGCUUCCUAUUCGAGAUCCUUUAUUUAUUCUAAAAUUAUAACCCUCUCCAAUUUAGAAAUCCAGUGGUGAAACUAAGCCCUCCAACAACUCUUAUCGGAAAAGAAUCAGUCUCUGCUAAGAUUGCUGAAUUCUCAUCACGCGGCCCCAAUACUAUUUCAGCUUCAAUACUCAAGGCAAGAAUAACAAUAGUGUUUUUUUUCGUUUCCUCAAUUUUGAGUUGCGUAUAAUAGCUUACCUCGUUAUUUACGACGAACAGCCGGAUAUAGCAGCACCAGGACUGCAAAUAAUAGCGGCAACUUCAGGCGUUGACACAUCAGCAGAAAGAGGUUUCACAAUGAUGUCAGGUACUUCAAUGGCAACUCCUCAUAUUGCUGGAAUUGUAGCCCUUCUCAGAGCACUCCAUCCUGAUUGGUCACCUGCUGGACUCAGAUCUGCACUUACCACCACAGGUAUACAAACUCUUUUUCCUGUAUAUAUAUAUAUAUAUAUAUAUAUAUAUAUAUAUAUAUAUAUAUAUUAAUAAAUAAUAAUGCACUUUUUACCACUUGAUGAAGCUUGGACGAGUGAUCCAUAUGGAACCCCGAUGUUUGCUGAGGGGGACCCACAUAAGCUUGCCGAUCCUUUCGAUUACGGGGGUGGAAUUGCGAACCCGAACGGUGCUUCAUGUCCGGGGUUGAUAUAUGACAUGGACACAACAGACUAUAUUAAUUACCUUUGUGCCAUGGAGUACAAUAGCUCUGCUAUCUCUCGACUAACAGGGCAACCUAUAAUGUGUCCUAAUAAGACAUUCCCAAUUCUAGAUGUGAAUUUACCUUCCAUAACUAUACCGUACCUUAGAAACUCAACUGUCCUAAGCAGAACCGUAACUAACGUGGGACCCACAAACUCAAUAUACCGUGUCGUAGUUGA